CGGAUGAUAACUCAAGAAUGCUUAAGCCUAGGAUCAUGAAACUUCAUAGGUACAUUGAUCAUGACUGGUAGAUGACCUCUAUUGAUUUUCAGGUCACUAGGUCAAAGGUCAAGGUCACAGUGACUCGAAAUAAGAAAAUGGUUUCCGGAUAAUAACUCAAGAAUGCUUAGGCCUAGGAUCAUGAAACUUCAUAGGUACAUUGAUCAUGACUGGCAGAUGACCCCUAUUGAUUUUCAGGUCACUAGGUCAAAGGUCAAGGUCACAGUGACAAAAAACGUAUUCUCACAAUGGCUGCCACUACAACUGACAGCCCAUAUGGGGGGCAUGCAUGUUUUACAAACAACCCUUGUU